rnacentral:rRNA from 1 species
UCGUGGAGUGAUCUGUCUGCUUAAUUGCGUUUCAAAUUUUUAUUUGAGGACCAGGUUUUGGUUUGGGUAGUGGUCCUACGAUGACUGUGAACUGUCAUGUCUUCGGAUGUGCGACUAUCGGUCUAGGAUCGCAUCUCAGCCCCUGGGACUCUUUUGAACGCAACGGACGUGAUUGCAACCCCUUGUUGAGAUUAGAGGAGUCUCGAUAUUCAUUGGCCAAACUUACCGCUUCGAGCUUGCUCGUGCAGUUUUGUUAGCCGGUGGAUAAACUCGGGGGACUGCUGACUAUAACCAUUUCUCAAAACAGAGGAAGGUUGCGGCAAUAACAGGUCUGUGAUGCCCUCAGAU